GCGUACGGCUGUCGGGUCGGUACCGGUUGUGCCAUCGCGCUGCCGUCUGACAGUGGGAAAACAAAUGGCGGUGCGAUUUGAAAGGUGUGUUGUGUCGUUGAAAAAGAGAACAAUGUGAUGUGUUUCGAAUUGGAGAACGGUCGAUUUUUAAGUUGUACGAGAAGGUUGUGAAACGCUAGAUGUUUCUUUUUUUUCUAUUGUUUUUGAUGCUAAAAUUUGGAUAUGUUUACAUCGCUCAAUUGCUAUGCCAUCACCUCUUGUACAUGUGUGUCCAAGCAAGCCAACUUUGACAUAUCUGUCGCGGAGCAUUCAAUUUGGACAAGUGCGGAAUUUGUGAGAACGCAAUUAUACAAACAAAAAAGGUUAAAGUCCAGAUGGGCACUCGUCCGGCUGAGCGGCUGUCAGAUCGUUGCUGCCACAAAUUGUAAAUAAGUGUUUGUUUCACACAUCUUCAUACUCCUGCUCCUCUUGACACACAUGGCUACUGCAUCGCGUCACCCACCACCGUCGUGGGGAAUGGAUAAUUUUCACGCAAACUGGCGGUAUGGUGUAUAAUGGAACGGGCAAAGAUUACGCUACCUGC